CCAGCAGGCAUGCUGAAACGUCCCCGCAAUAGAACAGCAGCGGGGAAGCCAGCUACCUCUUCGAUUCCAACGGCAGACGCUAUCGUAAGCUCCUUGACGACUGGAUUCACGUCUACUACCUCCAUCGCAUCGCAUCCUCACAAGUUCACAGUGGAGCUGAGCACUGGGUAAUGAUCUGCCCAAGAAGAUGGAUGUCUGCAGAAACCAGACUGUGGUUCUAAUGAAUAAUCUGAGACAAAUGUUUCAAGAUGAACUUCCCCCUCUUUCCUCCCUCCGAAAGAACUACUCCCUAUAGGCCAGGGGUCCACUCCCACUCCUCACCGAUACCGGACAGGGAGAGGCAUGUGAUGUCAUACAUAUUGUAACUUGGGGAUCACCACAGUUGCUGUCUGGUGGGAGUACAAGGAUUUUGUGCUAUCUGGGGGCAUUCCUCCAGUGGACCUCUAA